GGACGGGUGAGUAACGGCUGGGAACCUGCCCUGACGAGGGGGAUAACCGUUGGAAACGACGGCUAAUACCGCAUAAUGUCUUGAUUCGUUAGAGUCAGGACCAAAGGUGGCCUCUACAUGUAAGCUAUCGCGUUGGGAUGGGCCCAGUUAGGAUUAGCUAGUUGGUAAGGUAAUGGCUUACCAAGGCAACGAUCCUUAGCUGGUUUGAGAGGAUGAUCAGCCACACUGGGACUGAGACACGGCCCAGACUCCUACGGGAGGCAGCAGUGGGGAAUAUUGCACAAUGGGGGAGACCCUGAUGCAGCCAUGCCGCGUGUGUGAAGAAGGCCUUCGGGUUGUAAAGCACUUUCAGCAGUGAGGAAGGUCGUGUACUUAAUACGUGCACGGCUUGACGUUAGCUGCAGAAGAAGCACCGGCUAACUCCGUGCCAGCAGCCGCGGUAAUACGGAGGGUGCGAGCGUUAAUCGGAAUUACUGGGCGUAAAGCGCAUGCAGGCGGUUUGUUAAGUCAGAUGUGAAAGCCCGGGGCUCAACCUCGGAACCGCAUUUGAAACUGGCAGGCUAGAGUCUUGUAGAGGGGGGGUAGAAUUUCAGGUGUAGCGGUGAAAUGCGUAGAGAUCUGAAGGGAAUACCAGUGGCGAAGGCGGCCCCCUGGACAAAGACUGACGCUCAGAUGAGAAAGCGUGGGUAGCAAA
rnacentral:rRNA from 1 species